UCCCCCUCUGACCUCCACAAUCAUUCCGGGGCACGAGCAUGCCCCCCCCCCCGGUAAAUAAAUGUAAUAAAAAAUUCUAACACUAGAAAGCAGCAGGUGUGGUGACAUGUGGCCAUAAUCACUGUAUGUGGAGGCUGAGGCAGGAGAAUUGCUAUGAGUUCAAGGCCAGCUUGGGCUACAGAGUAAGGCACUGCCUCAAAAUAAAUAAGUAAAUAAAAACAUUUUUUUUUUAAAGUGUAGAAAAAAAAUGGCAACUCAACAGUGUCGUAAUCCAAAGUACUGGAAUAUUCCCUUGUGUGUAUAGGAUAACUGUAACUAUUCAUCAGCAUUGUACUUUGUAUAUAAUUGUAUUUGUGUGUGUGUGUGUGUGUGUGUGUGUGUGUGUGUGUGUGUUCAUCUGUGCCUAUGUGCACGUGUGUAUAGGAUAACUGUAACUAUUCAUCAGCAUUGUACUUUGUAUAUAAUUGUAUUUGUGUGUGUGUGUGUGUGUGUGUGUGUGUGUGUGUGUGUGUGUG